GACGUAGGGUGCGAGCGUUGUCCGGAUUUAUUGGGCGUAAGGAGCUCGUAGGCGGCUCGUCGCGUCGACCGUGAAAACCCGCAGCUUAACUGCGGGCUUGCGGUUGAUACGGGCGGGCUAGAGUUCGGUAGGGGAGACUGGAAUUCCUGGUGUAGCGGUAGAAAUGCGCAGAUAUCAGGAGGAACACCGGUGGCGAAGGCGGGUCUCUGGGGCCGAUACUGACGUGAGGAGCGAAAGCGUGGGGAGCGAACAGG
rnacentral:rRNA from 1 species